CGAACGGGUGAGUAAUGCAUCGGAACGUGCCCAGUAGUGGGGGAUAACCAGUCGAAAGACUGGCUAAUACCGCAUACGACCUAAGGGUGAAAGCGGGGGACCGUAAGGCCUCGCGCUAUUGGAGCGGCCGAUGUCUGAUUAGCUAGUUGGCGGGGUAAGAGCCCACCAAGGCGACGAUCAGUAGCUGGUCUGAGAGGACGACCAGCCACACUGGGACUGAGACACGGCCCAG
rnacentral:rRNA from 1 species